rnacentral:rRNA from 1 species
GCCCCGGUAAACGGCGGCCGUAACUAUAACGGUCCUAAGGUAGCGAAAUUCCUUGUCGGGUAAGUUCCGACCUGCACGAAUGGCGUAAUGAUGGCCAGGCUGUCUCCACCCGAGACUCAGUGAAAUUGAACUCGCUGUGAAGAUGCAGUGUACCCGCGGCAAGACGGAAAGACCCCGUGAACCUUUACUAUAGCUUGACACUGAACAUUGAGCCUUGAUGUGUAGGAUAGGUGGGAGGCUUUGAAGUGUGGACGCCAGUCUGCAUGGAGCCGACCUUGAAAUACCACCCUU